UGUUCGUUCUUAAUUCGUCGGUCGUAUUUCGUUCCACCUUACUGAUCUGUAGUCGCCACAGUUUUUGUGUGGAUUUCGCAAACGCCGCGCACCGAACAAAGUUAACUUAACUAAUUUACCUACACUCUCGUUGUAAAUACAGUCUGUUCACGCUUUUGGUUCUUGAACGAUACAGUACUUACGUUGUCAGAACAUUAACCCGACACCAUGACGCCGUGUUCGAGCGAAACUGUAGACCUGCACGAGUGCCCGAGAUUGAUAACAGGACUAACACGACACGCCGGGAGAGUAUGACUACAAUGUUUAAAUUUUACUAUAGAAAAAAAAAAAGAAUUAAUAAAAACAGUAGGCAUCGAGUACCAACAACGUUGAUUACUGAUCUGCAGUCGUUUCCCAUUGAGAUCGCUGUUCAAUUCGUUAUUAGAUAAUAUUUUGUAUGAACAUAUAGCAUUAAAUAAACAUCAUGUAAACUGAUUUUCUGGUUUAUAAUGCAUUAUUUUUUUGUAGAUCAUUAAGUUUCGAAUAAAUCAGAAAAAAAAACAAUAUAGACCAAUACCUACACCAUUGACUUUGUCACUGAAACCGAUCAGGAAGUGGACAAAUUGCUCAUUGAAGGAAUUAAACGAAAAUAUCCCAACCAACCAUAAGUAUGUUAGCGGAAAAAUAUAAUGAAUAAAUACAAUUCAUUACAUUGAUUAAUUAAUUUAUUUUUAUAUAUACAUUUUUUAUUUACAUAUUUAUUUACUUUAUUUAUUUACGAGUAUUAACCAUAUUAAUAGUUUUGUUUUUACUUUAUUAUUUAUUAUGGCAGGCCUAGCCAAUGUUCCAACUAAGAUAAUGAACAGGAUUGAAUGUUUAAACAUGAACUUAAUUAAUACUAAUAUGAAUAUCUACUUCAAUAAAACUUGUAAGAUAUUGAAAUUCGUUCCAAAAUGCAUCAAUAUACAUCUGAAGCUGCAAUUAAAGCCAAGAAAGCAACAGAGACAAUAUUGCUGAACACUGAAAUUAAA